rnacentral:tRNA from 1 species
UGGUCUUGUAAACCAAAAAUGGAGGACACAACUCUCCCUAAGACU